CAGCAGCCGCGGUAAUACGGAGGGUGCAAGCGUUAAUCGGAAUUACUGGGCGUAAAGCGCACGCAGGCGGUUUGUUAAGUCAGAUGUGAAAUCCCCGGGCUCAACCUGGGAACUGCAUCUGAUACUGGCAAGCUUGAGUCUCGUAGAGGGGGGUAGAAUUCCAGGUGUAGCGGCGAAAUGCGUAGAGAUCUGGAGGAAUACCGGUGGCGAAGGCGGCCCCCUGGACGAAGACUGACGCUCAGGUGCGAAAGCGUGGGGAGCAAACAGGAUUAGAUACCCGUGUAGUCCCUGUCUCUUAUAC
rnacentral:rRNA from 1 species